GAUUUCUGACGAAACUGCUAGCUGGCCCGCCACGCUUGUCGUGUGUGAGUGCCGGCUUGGCGUUUGUCAUCCGUUCGAAUGAUACGCGUGCUGCCCUUCACUGGGUUGGCGCUGCGUGUUUUCGAUCUUUUACUUUGAAAAAAUUAGAGUGUUUCAAGCAGGCUUUAUGCUAUGAAUACAUUAGCAUGGAAUAAUAAUUUAGGACUUCGGUUCUAUUUUGUUGGUUUCUAGGACUGAAGUAAUGAUUGAUAGGGAUAGUUGGGGGUGCUAGUAUUCAGCGGCCAGAGGUGAAAUUCUCGGAUUCGCUGAAGACUAACUUAUGCGAAAGCAUU
rnacentral:rRNA from 1 species